rnacentral:rRNA from 1 species
GACCGUGCAAAGGUAGCAUAAUCAUUUGCCUUAUAAUUGAAGGCUUGUAUGAAUGGUUUGACAAGAAUAAAGCUGUCUCUUUAUAAAUAAAUAUAAUUUUAUUUACAGGUGAAGAAGCCUGUAUUUUAUUGAAAGACAAGAAGACCCUAUCGAGCUUUAAAUAAAUUAACAAAGAAUAAAUUAUAUUUAUAUAAAGUCAAUUAUUAAAAAUUUUAGUUGGGGCGACUAAGGAACAGAUAAAGCUUCCUAAAAAUUUAAAUACCUUCAAGUAUUGAUCCAAAAUCUUUGAUUAAAGGAAUUAGUUACCGUAGGGAUAACAGCAUUAUCUUUUUUAAGAGCUCAAAUCGAAAAAAAGGUUUGUGACCUCGAUGUUGGACCAGAAUGUCCUGAAGAUGCAGCCGUCUUCAAAGGUUGGUCUGUUCGACCAUUAAAAUUCUACGUGAUCUGAGUUCAGACCGGCGUGAGCCAGGUCAGUUUCUAUCUUCUAUUUUUAAUAUGGAUCUAGUACGAAAGGACCGACCUAUAAUAAUGAAAUUUAUUUUAUUUGAUGAAGUAUAAAUAUCUAUUAAAUUAAUAAAAUGAAUAAAAUCAAAUUAGCAAAGAUAAUGCAAUUGACUUAGGAUCAAUAGACAUAGGUGAAAUUCCUUUAUUUGAUACAAAUAUAAAGAUGGCAGAUUAA